UCCGAGCUCUCGCAAGAGGAGGUAUAGGGUGUGACGCCUGCCCAGUGCCGGAAGGUUAAGUGAUGGGGUUAGCCCUAGGCGAAGCUCUUGACCGAAGCCCCGGUAAACGGCGGCCGUAACUAUAACGGUCCUAAGGUAGCGAAAUUCCUUGUCGGGUAAGUUCCGACCUGCACGAAUGGCGUAACGAUGGCCACGCUGUCUCCACCAGGGACUCAGUGAAAUUGAAAUCGCUGUGAAGAUGCAGUGUUCCCGCGGCUAGACGGAAAGACCCCGUGAACCUUUACUACAGCUUCGUACUGAAAUUUGGGCAUGCUUGUGUAGGAUAGGUGGGAGGCUUUGAAGCGGAGACGCCAGUUUCCGUGGAGCCGACCUUGAAAUACCACCCUGGUAUGGCUGAAUUUCUAACCCAGACCCGUUAUCCGGGUCGGGGACAGUGCGUGGUGGGUAGUUUGACUGGGGAGGUCUCCUCCCAAAGAGUAACGGAGGAGUGCGAAGGUACCCUCGGCGCGGUCGGAAAUCGCGCUUUGAGUGCAAAGGCAUAAGGGUGCCUGACUGCGAGACGGACAGGUCGAGCAGGGGCGAAAGCCGGUCUUAGUGAUCCGGUGGUUCUGUAUGGAAGGGCCAUCGCUCAACGGAUAAAAGGUACUCCGGGGAUAACAGGCUGAUACCGCCCAAGAGUUCGUAUCGACGGCGGUGUUUGGCACCUCGAUGUCGGCUCAUCACAUCCUGGGGCUGUAGUCGGUCCCAAGGGUAUGGCUGUUCGCCAUUUAAAGUGGUACGCGAGCUGGGUUUAGAACGUCGUGAGACAGUUCGGUCCCUAUCUGCCGUGGGCGCUGGAGACUUGAGGGGAGCUGCUCUUAGUACGAGAGGACCGGAGUGGACGUACCUCUGGUGUACCGGUUGUCACGCCAGUGGCACUGCCGGGUAGCUAUGUACGGACGGGAUAACCGCUGAAAGCAUCUAAGCGGGAAGCCCCCCCCGAGAUGAGGUCUCCCAGGAUCCUUGAGAUCCCUGAAGGUCCGUUGAAGACCACGACGUUGAUAGGCUGGGUGUGGAAGCGCAGUAAUGUGUGAAGCUGACCAGUACUAAUUGACCGUGAGGCUUGACCAU
rnacentral:rRNA from 1 species